rnacentral:rRNA from 1 species
AUUGAACGCUGGCGGCAGGCCUAACACAUGCAAGUCGAGCGAGCGGCGGACGGGUGAGUAAUGUCUUGGAAACUGCCUGCUGGAGGGGGAUAACUACUGGAAAAGGUAGCUAAUACCGCAUACCAUCAGAUGUGCCCAGAUUGGAUUAGCUGGUAGGUGGGGUAACGGCUCCCCUAGGCGACGACCCCUAGCGGGUCUGAGAGGAUGACCAGCCACACUGAGACUGAGACACGGUCCAGACUCCUACGGGAGGCAGCAGUGGGGAAUAUUGCACAAUGGGCGCAAGCCUGAUGCAGCCAUGCCGCGUGUGUGAAGAAGGCCUUCGGGUUGUAAAGCACUUUCAGCGGGGAGGCGUUACCCGCAGAAGAAGCACCGGCUAACUACGUGCCAGCAGCCGCGGUAAUAC